CCUACGGGAGGCAGCAGUGGGGAAUAUUGCACAAUGGGCGCAAGCCUGAUGCAGCCAUGCCGCGUGUGUGAAGAAGGCCUUCGGGUUGUAAAGCACUUUCAGCAGGGAGGAAGGCGUUAAGGUUAAUAACCUUGUCGAUUGACGUUACCCGCAGAAGAAGCACCGGCUAACUCCGUGCCAGCAGCCGCGGUAAUACGGAGGGUGCAAGCGUUAAUCGGAAUUACUGGGCGUAAAGCGCACGCAGGCGGUCUGUCAAGUCGGAUGUGAAAUCCCCGGGCUCAACCUGGGAACUGCAUUCGAAACUGGCAGGCUAGAGUCUUGUAGAGGGGGGUAGAAUUCCAGGUGUAGCGGUGAAAUGCGUAGAGAUCUGGAGGAAUACCGGUGGCGAAGGCGGCCCCCUGGACAAAGACUGACGCUCAGGUGCGAAAGCGUGGGGAGCAAACAGGAUUAGAUACCCCUGUAGUC
rnacentral:rRNA from 1 species